CAGUCGCCACGGUAAUACGUAGGUGGCAAGCGUUGUCCGGAAUUAUUGGGCGUAAAGGGCUCGCAGGCGGUUUCUUAAGUCUGAUGUGAAAGCCCCCGGCUCAACCGGGGAGGGUCAUUGGAAACUGGGAAACUUGAGUGCAGAAGAGGAGAGUGGAAUUCCACGUGUAGCGGUGAAAUGCGUAGAGAUGUGGAGGAACACCAGUGGCGAAGGCGACUCUCUGGUCUGUAACUGACGCUGAGGAGCGAAAGCCAGGGGAGCGAACGGGAUUAGAUACCCCAGUAGUCCCUGUCUCUUAUAC
rnacentral:rRNA from 1 species